rnacentral:rRNA from 2 species
GUAACAUUGAUGCUUGCNUCAGAUGACGAGUGGCGCACGGGUGAGUAACGCGUAUACAAUCUACCUUUUACAGGGGGAUAGCCUUUAGAAAUGAAGAUUAAUAUCCCAUAGUAAGUAGUUUUGGCAUCNAGACAACUUUAAAGUUUCGGCGGUAAAAGAUGAGUAUGCGUUCUAUUAGUUAGUUGGUAAGGUAACGGCUUACCAAGACCACGAUAGAUAGGGGCCCUGAGAGGGGGAUCCCCCACACUGGUACUGAGACACGGACCAGACUCCUACGGGAGGCAGCAGUGAGGAAUAUUGGACAAUGGGCGCGAGCCUGAUCCAGCCAUGCCGCGUGCAGGAAGACUGCCCUAUGGGUUGUAAACUGCUUUUAUACAGGAAGAAACCUUUUCACGUGUGAAAAGCUGACGGUACUGUAAGAAUAAGGAUCGGCUAACUCCGUGCCAGCAGCCGCGGUAAUACGGAGGAUCCAAGCGUUAUCCGGAAUCAUUGGGUUUAAAGGGUCCGUAGGUGGAUAAUUAAGUCAGGGGUGAAAGUUUGCAGCUCAACUGUAAAAUUGCCUUUGAUACUGGUUAUCUUGAAUUAUUGUGAAGUGGUUAGAAUAUGUAGUGUAGCGGUGAAAUGCAUAGAUAUUACAUAGAAUACCAAUUGCGAAGGCAGAUCACUAACAAUAUAUUGACACUGAUGGACGAAAGCGUGGGGAGCGAACAGGAUUAGAUACCCUGGUAGUCCACGCCGUAAACGAUGGAUACUAGCU